AUGCUCAUUGAAAGGAGAGCGGUUGGUAUCUUCCUUGAUAGGAACGGGAACAACCUUCGGGCUUUUUUUCUUUACCACACAAACUUAAGGCUACCCCCGCCAUUGAUAUUGUGGUGGUCCUGGUGGAUUUUAU